ACAAGUAACAGUAGUAUGUGAAAAUAGGGCAGCUGUUCCCAAAAUGCCAUCCGCAAAACCUGGAAGGUCCUCAGGGGCCUUUUCAGUGAAUCUGUAAGGUCAAAAGCAUCUUCACAAUAUGAAGACUUUAUUUCCUUCACUUUGUUGAGAAUUGCACUGAUGGUGCAAAGCCAGCACCUUAGCAAAAAUCAAGGCAGUGGUGUCAGACUGCACGACUACAGUGAGUCCCUCUACAUACGAGCUUUUGAGUCACAAACUUUGAAAGAUGCCAAGUGUCCCUGUAUGCCAGGUACAGUGGCGGUACUACUACACUCUACAGGCAUGUAGGAUCUUAGUUCUUCAACCAGGAAUCAGACCUCACCUACACCUUCAUUGGAAGCCCUGAGUCUUAACCACUGGACCAACAGGAAGUCCCCCAGCUCUUUAAUAUGUGAAGAAUUGGGAAGUACUGCUGCUGCAUGCCCAAGUAGGAUGGACAUCUCCAGAAAAUGCUCUUGUGUGAUUGUUGGAGUUUUCACUCAAAAAUGCAAAUUUUUAAAAAUUUGUAUCCACCAUCUGGAGCUUGACAGAUUUCUAGUAUUUAAACAUUUCUGCUAGAAACACGACUGAUAUUAACAAAUGUGUUUUUUCACAUUAUAUAGUGAUUAUAAUUGCCCAUUUGAAA
ensembl:lncRNA